AUUGAACGCUGGCGGCUGGCCUAACACAUGCAAGUCGAACGGUAACAGGAAGCAGCUUGCUGCUUCGCUGACGAGUGGCGGACGGGUGAGUAAUGUCUGGGAAACUGCCUGAUGGAGGGGGAUAACUACUGGAAACGGUAGCUAAUACCGCAUAACGUCGCAAGACCAAAGAGGGGGACCUUAGGGCCUCUUGCCAUCGGAUGUGCCCAGAUGGGAUUAGCUAGUAGGUGGGGUAACGGCUCACCUAGGCGACGAUCCCUAGCUGGUCUGAGAGGAUGACCAGCCACACUGGAACUGAGACACGGUCCAGACUCCUACGGGAGGCAGCAGUGGGGAAUAUUGCACAAUGGGCGCAAGCCUGAUGCAGCCAUGCCGCGUGUAUGAAGAAGGCCUUCGGGUUGUAAAGUACUUUCAGCGGGGAGGAAGGGAGUAAAGUUAAUACCUUUGCUCAUUGACGUUACCCGCAGAAGAAGCACCGGCUAACUCCGUG
rnacentral:rRNA from 1 species